AAAAGACUUGACCAAUCACAGACUGCGGUAUAAUUUUGACCAAUGAACAACGGCGAACAAACGCGGAACCUUUAUGGCGCACUAAUACCAUUAUUUAGUUCAAAACAUUAUUUUAUUUAAUGUAGAAGAAAAGUAAAAACCGACUGUUUGUUUCAGAAACGUCAGUGGCAUUUAAGUUAACUAACCCGGAAGCGCUGUUUCGCUGAAUCUGUUAGCAACAAAGUCAGCUGGUUAAGAUCAGACAGAACAAUGACCUCGGCAUCAACAAAGGUUGGUGAGAUCUUCUCUGCAGCAGGCGCUGCUUUUACUAAACUAGGGGAGCUCACCAUGCAGCUGCACCCGGUGGCGGACUCGAGUCCAGCAGGGGCACAAAUCAAGACCACGGUCAAACGGAAGCUUUAUGAAGACAGCGGAGUUCCUUUGUCUUCUGAGUCACCAAAGAAAAGUACGAAGAAGGUCCCAGUUGCCAUGGCUCCCCCUCCACCACCCACAGUCAUAGCUGUGCCAACAUCUCAGGUCAUGGUUACGACAGGCUUACAGGGUCCUUCUACAGGCUCAGCCUGUAAGAAGCCCAAAACAGCAGAUGUCACUCUCAGUGCUCUGAAUGAUUCAGAUGUGAACAGCGAUCUUGUGGACAUCGAGGGACUCGGUGACAGCUCUGCGACAAAAAAGCUCAACUUUGAUCAAGCACAGAAAACGUCUUCUAGACAUGGCGACAACAGGAACUGUAGUGUUUGAGGGCGGGUCAGAGUACACCUUGUUCACAAGCAGCCAAUGAAGACCAGAGGCGGGGUUUUUGUUACAAACCAACGUAGUUUUGUACAGGAAUGAUGUCACUUCACAUUGGUGAAAAAGCAUUUCUAUGAAGAAACCACAUCUGAAAAACAGCGGAGGUCACAGAGUGAGCUGCUGCAGGAAAAGUGCACUAUCCAGAAAGUCUGAAUCUUGACUCAAGUCUCAUCAUGAACUCCAGUGACCUGCCUCUCCUGUCCCGCUGAACCUGGCUUGCUGCUCACAACCAUAAACUGUAAAGAAAAAAAAAAAUGAACAUUACAUCAGACUGGGCUGAACCUUUGCAAAAAAAACAAAAACAAAAAAACAGCCCAGUCCAGGACCCGGUCUUGUUGGUUUCUACUAUAUAGAUGGAUUCUAAAACAGUUUUCGUGCAAAGUCAAAUUUGUAAGGCAGCUUGUUUUGUUUUGUAGUCAUUCUUUUGGUCUGUUUGAAAAUGGUCUAAAACAGGUCAGCAAUGCCUUACAAACAAUUUGUCAUAUGACAUCGAUGCUUAAGAUAAUUGUCUUAUAAAUUCAUUUAAAAUAAUUUUAUACGUUGGUCUCAUGUAAAUAAAGAUACCACUUUAAUGCAUUAAUUUUUGUUAUAUUGGGAAUCUGUUCCCCUGUGAAGAUAUGUGAAGUGUGUGAAUACAUGAUAAUGCUAUUUUCCUGUACCGUUUGUCCUGGUGUCCGCUUAUGUAAGUGCUAAUUGGAGUUAGUCCGUUUUGUCAGAUUGUCAGAAAUCUGCAUGCAUUCUACACAUGACUGAGUGCAACACAACACUUGUUUACUUUUUGCUUGAUUAUUUGUUUGCCUAAGGUCACCACUGCAUGUUUCAAAGGACUAAUACAAACUGAAAUAACUAUUUGUGAAAAAGUUUUACAUUUUUGUUAGUUUUAAAAUGUUAUUCACUUUUUGUUCGAUCGGUCUAACCUUUAUUCACAGG